rnacentral:rRNA from 1 species
GGGUUCUGAGAGGAAAGAUCCCCCCACACUUGGGACUGAGACACGGCCCAGACUCUCUACGGGAGGCAGCGAGUGAGGAAUAUUGGACAAUGGGGGCAACCCUGAUCCAGCCAUGCCGCGUGAAGGAUGAAGGCCCUACGGGUCGCAGACUUCUUUUGUCGCGGAGCAAUAAGGGCCACGAGUGGUCCGAUGAGAGUACGCGACGAAUAAGCAUCGGCUAACUCCGUGCCAGCAGCCGCGGUAAGACGGAGGAUGCGAGCGUUAUCCGGAUUUAUUGGGUUUAAAGGGUGCGCAGGCGGCGCGCCAAGUCGGCGGUGAAACCCCCGGGCUCAACCCGGGACCUGCCGUUGAUACUGGCGUGCUCGAGUCACCUUGCCGUGGGGGGAAUGAGUGGUGUAGCGGUGAAAUGCUUAGAUAUCACUCAGAACACCGAUUGCGAAGGCACCUCACGAAGGGUGAACUGACGCUCAGGCACGAAAGCGUAGGGAUCGAACAGGAUUAGAUACCCUGGUAGUCCACGCCGUAAACGAUGAUUGCUAACUGCCGGCGACACACUGUCGGUGGCCAAGCGAAAGCGAUAAGCAAUCCACCUGGGGAGUACGACCGCAAGGUUGAAACUCAAAGGAAUUGACGGGGGCCCGCACAAGCGGAGGAUCAUGUGGUUUAAUUCGAUGAUACGCGAGGAACCUUACCCGGGCUCGAACGGCGGCCGGACGACCCAGAGAUGGGGAGGCCCUCCGGGGCGGCCGUCGAGGUGCUGCAUGGUUGUCGUCAGCUCGUGCCGUGAGGUGUCGGCUCAAGUGCCAUAACGAGCGCAACCCUUGCCGUCAGUUGCCAGCACGCAAUGGUGGGGACUCUGGCGGGACUGCCACCGCAAGGUGAGAGGAGGGGGGGGAUGACGUCAAAUCAGCACGGCCCUUACGUCCGGGGCGACACACGUGAUACAAUGGUGGGUACAGAGGGAUGCCACCCGGCGACGGGGAGCGGAUCUCGAAAGCCCAUCUCAGUUCGGAUCGGAGUCUGCAACCCGACUCCGUGAAGCUGGAUUCGCUAGUAAUCGCGCAUCAGCCAUGGCGCGGUGAAUACGUUCCCGGGCCUUGUACACACCGCCCGUCAAGCCA